rnacentral:rRNA from 1 species
CAAUAGCGUAUAUUAAAGUUGUUGCAGUUAAAAAGCUCGUAGUUGGAUUUCGAAUGGGAGCGGUGGGUCGGGUCCGCAAGGGCUCGUUACCUGUUUCGUCUCCGGUUCUUUUUCGGGAUUUGUUUCUGGCGUGGCUGGCAUUGAGUUGUCGGUGGCGUCGGGCCCGUCGUUUACUGUGAACAAAUUAGAGUGUUCAAAGCAAGGUGUGUCUUGAAUACAUUAGCAUGGAAUAAUGAGAUAGGACUUUGGUGGUUUCGGUGAAAGCCGGAUAUUUUGUUGGUUUGCACGCCAAAGUAAUGAUUAAUAGGAGCAGUUGGGGGUAUUCGUAUUCAAUUGUCAGAGGUGAAAUUCUUGGAUUUCUAGAAGACGAACUACUGCGAAAGCAUUUACCAGGGAUGUUUNCAUUAA